ACCUAAUAAAAGUUCGGCUCCACGACUUAUGCAAAGCAUGGCUUCCCUCGCUUCCCUCGUUUCCCGCUCAUUGGAUGUUCUUCUAUUCUAGUGAAGGGCCAUCAAUUACUCAACGAGAAUUAUCUUUCUUACCGGGAGCAGCGGGAAGGCGAAUGCUAUGCAAGGCGAAUGCUAUGCGAGGCGUUGUCCUUCGUGCCUUCAUCUUCAGGGGGAGAAGGACCAUCCAACCAUAGAUUUCUUGAAGGUUCUCGGCGACUUCUCUCUUGUCACGAAUUUUGUAUCUUAGGCGUAUUUCCUUUCCUUGCUACCAAGGAAUGAAUGGUUGGACAUUUUGGGUGGGGGUGGUUGGAGAAACAAACAAAUGUGACCAAAUGAUAAGUUGUGGAGAACUUAGACAAAAUCUAAAGUCUUCCUCCUUUAGUCAUUUGCGAAUUUGUUUUUGAUGCAAUGCCUGAAAAAAACAAAUGUCUUCUUUCUUCUGUUUGCUUCAGAUAAUACGAAAUCUGUAGAACACAGUCCUCUUUCUCUAAUGUUGUUGAACAAGUUCCCCAUGUUUUAAGACAUUGUCAACUUCAUCUUUUUCUAGAUUUUUAGAAUUCUUUGGAUUUAAUAUUCUUUGAUGAAAA